AGUCAUUCUUCCCUCUAAUCAGGGCCUGAUUUAGACCUGAGACACCAGGUGGGUGAUUCCCCUCUAAUCAGGGCCUGAUUUAGACCUGGGACACCAGUCAUUCUUCCCUCUAAUCAGGGCCUGAUUUAGACCUGGGACACCAGUCAUUCUUCCCUCUAAUCAGGGCCUGAUUUAGACCUGGGACACCAGGUGGGUGAUUCCCCUCUAAUCAGGGCCU